rnacentral:rRNA from 1 species
GACGAACGCUGGCGGCGUGCUUAACACAUGCAAGUCGAACGGAAAGGCCCUGCUUUUGUGGGGUGCUCGAGUGGCGAACGGGUGAGUAACACGUGAGUAACCUGCCCUUGACUUUGGGAUGACUUCAGGAAACUGGGGCUAAUACCGGAUAGGAGCUCCUGCUGCAUGGUGGGGGUUGGAAAGUUUCGGCGGUUGGGGAUGGACUCGCGGCUUAUCAGCUUGUUGGUGGGGUAGUGGCUUACCAAGGCUUUGACGGGUAGCCGGCCUGAGAGGGUGACCGGCCACAUUGGGACUGAGAUACGGCCCAGACUCCUACGGGAGGCAGCGGUGGGGAAUAUUGCACAAUGGGCGGAAGCCUGAUGCAGCAACGCCGCGUGCGGGAUGACGGCCUUCGGGUUGUAAACCGCUUUCGCCUGUGACGAAGCGUGAGUGACGGUAAUGGGUAAAGAAGCACCGGCUAACUACGUGCCAGCAGCCGCGGUGAUACGUAGGGUGCGAGCGUUGUCCGGAUUUAUUGGGCGUAAAGGGCUCGUAGGUGGUUGAUCGCGUCGGAAGUGUAAUCUUGGGGCUUAACCCUGAGCGUGCUUUCGAUACGGGUUGACUUGAGGAAGGUAGGGGAGAAUGGAAUUCCUGGUGGAGCGGUGGAAUGCGCAGAUAUCAGGAGGAACACCAGUGGCGAAGGCGGUUCUCUGGGCCUUUCCUGACGCUGAGGAGCGAAAGCGUGGGGAGCGAACAGGCUUAGAUACCCUGGUAGUCCACGCUGUAAACGGUGGGUACUAGGUGUGGGGUCCAUUCCACGGGUUCCGUGCCGUAGCUAACGCUUUAAGUACCCCGCCUGGGGAGUACGGCCGCAAGGCUAAAACUCAAAGGAAUUGACGGGGCCCCGCACAAGCGGCGGAGCAUGCGGAUUAAUUCGAUGCAACGCGUAGAACCUUACCUGGGUUUGACAUGGAUCGGGAGUGCUCAGAGAUGGGUGUGCCUCUUUUGGGGUCGGUUCACAGGUGGUGCAUGGCUGUCGUCAGCUCGUGUCGUGAGAUGUUGGGUUAAGUCCCGCAACGAGCGCAACCCUUGUUCACUGUUGCCAGCACGUUAUGGUGGGGACUCAGUGGAGACCGCCGGGGUCAACUCGGAGGAAGGUGGGGAUGACGUCAAGUCAUCAUGCCCCUUAUGUCCAGGGCUUCACGCAUGCUACAAUGGCUGGUACAGAGAGUGGCGAGCCUGUGAGGGUGAGCGAAUCUCGGAAAGCCGGUCUCAGUUCGGAUUGGGGUCUGCAACUCGACCUCAUGAAGUCGGAGUCGCUAGUAAUCGCAGAUCAGCAACGCUGCGGUGAAUACGUUCCCGGGGCU